GAUGAACGCUAGCGGCAGGCCUAACACAUGCGAGUCGAGGGAGAAGCCCUUUCGGGGGCAGAAACCGGCGCACGGGUGCGUAACGCGUAUGCAACCUACCUUUCACAGGGGGAUAGCCCGAAGAAAUUUGGAUUAAUACCCCAUAAUAUUAUUGGAUGGCAUCAUUUGAUAAUUAAAACUGCGGUGGUGAAAGAUGGGCAUGCGUCCUAUGAGCUAGUUGGAGUGGUAACGGCACCCCAAGGCUACGAUAGGUAGGGGUCCUGAGAGGGAGAUCCCCCACACUGGUACUGAGACAGGGACCAGAAUCCUACGGGAGGCAGCAGUGAGGAAUAUUGGUCAAUGGUCGGAAGACUGAACCAGCCAUGCCGCGUGCAGGAAGAAUGCCUUAUGGGUUGUAAACUGCUUUUAUAUGGGAAGAAUAAGGCGUACGUGUACGUUGAUGACGGUACCAUAUGAAUAAGCAUCGGCUAACUCCGUG
rnacentral:rRNA from 1 species